rnacentral:lncRNA from 1 species
UUUCCCUCCUCAACCUCGUCUUCGCCCUUCUGGUGGCCAUCGUCAAUAUGGUGCUGGACUACGCUCAUUUAUCUGGUCACACUGGCUGUCGACCUUGUUGGUCCUUUUUUGUCAAACCAGCAAGCUCCGCCACCGUCACUCAACUGCUCGCCCCGCGUGUGCUCGUAAAUUUUCUUGGUCGUGUCUGCUGAGCUGACCAACGCUCUAGCUCGCCGUUAUCGCCAAGUCCCAUGCAGCCAUGCUAUCUUUCGUCGUCAUUCAUUCCUAUUUUUCCUGGCCAUAUGCCGCCUCGUCAUGACGCGUGUCGUCGUCUUUAAUCUCAAUAGCUCUUCCGAUACGCGCCUCGCCAUGCUUCGCCUCCUCGUGAUCAACCCCAUCUGGGUCAUGUGGGCGGAAGAUCUCAACAACUGUCAGAUGUCCGACGACAAGCUCGAGCCAGAAUUUAUCAACAUUCUCACAAGUAUUGAGUCAGGUUUGAUGCUGGUACGUUUAUUGACCACGUGAUGCGGAGAACCAAAGCUGAGUCAACCCCAAGAUGACGUAACGGGUGGACUAAUUCGCAAGAUGAUGCUGGUGGAUUAACCUAAAGAUGGAUAGUCGAAACAAGUAUCAGAACAAAAGAUGAUCGCCAAGUGGACGACGUCUAACAACACUAACCUAGUGUUAUCCAGGCAAGCCCCAGUGCAUGCAACCCCUUCCUUGUGUUUUUAAAUAAUUUUUACACACUUUAAGUCUAGCGAAAUGUGCAUUAGGUUUAUAGGAGUUGCUUGGAAACCCUUUGAUGCAUUGCCUACCUUGAUAUCCAUACCUUUAUAGA